rnacentral:misc_RNA from 1 species
GUUGGGAGUAUGUACUUGGA